UAACAAAACCUUCAUACCAAAGUAACUAAUUCACAUCCACACCUGCAGUUUUUUCAUAGUGCAGUUGGUAGCCAAACCUUCAGACCAAGGUAACCAAUUCAAUUUUAUUAAGUUACCAAUUUCGUUUGAAUGUGAUGUAGUUGGUAGCCAACCAUUCAUACAAAGGUAACCAUUUUAUUAUUUAUGAGUAACAAAAUAGUUAUAAAAAAAAUUUCAGAACAUUAAUAGUUACAUCUAUUUAUUUUUAAACUUUUUGUAGGGCGAAUCUUCUUCUUAUUCUCAUUGGCGUUUUGGACAACGGAGAUUCGCGG
rnacentral:lncRNA from 1 species